rnacentral:rRNA from 1 species
UACGUAGGGAGCAAGCGUUGUCCGGAAUCAUUGGGCGUAAAGCGCGCGUAGGUGGCUUCGUAAGUCCGUUGUGAAAGUCAAAGGCUCAACCUUUGAAAGCCGAUGGAUACUGUGAAGCUAGAGUACGGAAGAGGCGAGUGGAAUUCCUGGUGUAGCGGUGGAAUGCGCAGAUAUCAGGAGGAACACCGGUGGCGAAGGCGGGAUCCUGGGCCAGUACUGACGCUGAUGAGCGAAAGCGUGGGGAGCAAACAGG